rnacentral:rRNA from 1 species
GACGAACGCUGGCGGCGUGCCUAAUACAUGCAAGUUGAGCGCUGAAGGUUGGUACUUGUACCCACUGGAUGAGCAGCGAACGGGUGAGUAACGCGUGGGGAAUCUGCCUUUGAGCGGGGGACAACAUUUGGAAACGAAUGCUAAUACCGCAUAAAAACUUUAAACACAAGUUUUAAGUUUGAAAGAUGCAAUUGCAUCACUCAAAGAUGAUCCCGCGUUGUAUUAGCUAGUUGGGGAGGUAAAGGCUCACCAAGGCGAUGAUACAUAGCCGACCUGAGAGGGUGAUCGGCCACAUUGGGACUGAGACACGGCCCAAACUCCUACGGGAGGCAGCAGUAGGGAAUCUUCGGCAAUAGACGAAAGUCUGACCGAGCAACGCCGCGUGAGUGAAGAAGGUUUUCGGAUCGUAAAACUCUGUUGGUAGAGAAGAACGUUGGUGAGAGUGGAAAGCUCAUCAAGUGACGGUAACUACCCAGAAAGGGACGGCUAACUACGUG